rnacentral:rRNA from 1 species
AGAGUUUGAUCCUGGCUCAAGAUGAACGCUAGCGGCAGGCCUAACACAUGCAAGUCGAGGGGUAGAAGGAGCUUGCUCCUUUGAGACCGGCGCACGGGUGCGUAACGCGUAUGCAAUCUACCUUGUACAGGGGAAUAGCCCAAAGAAAUUUGGAUUAAUGCCCCAUAGUAUAUAACCUUCGCAUGUUGGUUAUAUUAAAGUUCCAACGGUACAAGAUGAGCAUGCGUCCCAUUAGUUAGUUGGUAAGGUAACGGCUUACCAAGACGAUGAUGGGUAGGGGUCCUGAGAGGGAGAUCCCCCACACUGGUACUGAGACACGGACCACACUCCUACGGGAGGCAGCAGUGAGGAAUAUUGGUCAAUGGUCGCAAGACUGAACCAGCCAUGCCGCGUGCAGGAAGACGGUCCUAUGGAUUGUAAACUGCUUUUAUACAGGAAGAAACCCUCCCACGUGUGGGAGCUUGACGGUACUGUAAGAAUAAGGAUCGGCUAACUCCGUGCCAGCAGCCGCGGUAAUACGGAGGAUCCAAGCGUUAUCCGGAAUCAUUGGGUUUAAAGGGUCCGUAGGCGGUCUUAUAAGUCAGUGGUGAAAGCCCAUCGCUCAACGAUGGAACUGCCAUUGAUACUGUAAGACUUGAAUGCUUAGAAGUAACUAGAAUAUGUAGUGUAGCGGUGAAUGCUUAGAUAUUACAUGGAAAUACCCAUUUGCGAAGGCAGGUUACUACUAAGUGAUUGACGCUGAUGGACGAAGCGGUGGGGAGCGAACAGGAUUACAUACCCCUAGUCAGUCCACGCAGUAAACGAUGGAUACUAGCUUGUCGCGCAGUUGAGUGACUAAGCGAAGUGAUCAGUCAUCCCCACCUGAGAGUACGCACGCUAGUGUGCAACUCGAAGUAUUGACGGCGCCCACUAGCGUUGAAGCAUGUGUUAUCGAUGCAUCGCGAGCA